AGGACGAACGCUGGCGGCGUGCUUAACCUUGCAAGUCGAACGCGGUCCAUCCGGUGGCAACACUGGUGAAGGCCGAGUGGCGAACGGGUGAGUAACACGUGAGCAACCUGCCCCGAAGACCGGGAUAAGCCUGGGAAACCGGGUCUAAUACCGGACGCCCCCACCGGGCCGCAUGACCCGGUGAGGAAAUGGAUUCCGCUUCGGGAGGGGCUCGCGGCCUAUCAGCUUGUUGGUGGGGUAACGGCCCACCAAGGCGUCGACGGGUAGCUGGUCUGAGAGGACGAUCAGCCACACUGGGACUGAGACACGGCCCAGACUCCUACGGGAGGCAGCAGUGGGGAAUCUUGCGCAAUGGGCGAAAGCCUGACGCAGCAACGCCGCGUGAGGGACGAAGGCCUUCGGGUUGUAAACCUCUUUCAGCAGGGACGAUUGUGACGGUACCUGCAGAAGAAGCCCCGGCCAACUACGUGCCAGCAGCCGCGGUAAUACGUAGGGGGCGAGCGUUGUCCGGAUUCAUUGGGCGUAAAGAGCUCGUAGGCGGCUUAGCAAGUCGGGUGUAAAACCUCCAGGCUUAACCUGGAGACGCCACCCGAUACUGCUAUGGCUAGAGUCCGGUAGGGGACCACGGAAUUCCUGGUGUAGCGGUGAAAUGCGCAGAUAUCAGGAGGAACACCGGUGGCGAAGGCGGUGGUCUGGGCCGGUACUGACGCUGAGGAGCGAAAGCGUGGGGAGCGAACAGGAUUAGAUACCCUGGUAGUCCACGCC
rnacentral:rRNA from 1 species